rnacentral:rRNA from 1 species
UAAUACUCCAUAGAUCAUGGGAUCUGGAAUGACCCAUGGUUCAAAGUUCCGGCGCUUAAGGAUCGGUCUGCGGCCUAUCAGGUAGUAGUAGGUGUAACGUACCCCCUAGCCAGUGACGAGUAUGGGCCUUGAGAGAGGGAGCCCAGAGUUGGAUUCUGAGACACGAAUCCAGGCCCUACGGGGCGCAGCAGUCGCGAAAACUUCACACUGGGGGCAACCCCGAUGAGGGAAUUCCUAGUGCUAGGACAUUUGUUCUAGCUUUUCUCUAGCGUAGAUAACUAGAGGAAUAAGGGCUGGGUAAGACGGGUGCCAGCCGCCGCGGUAAUACCUGCAGCCCAAGUGGUGGUCGAUUUUAUUGAGUCUAAAGCGUUCGUAGCCGGUUUGAUAAAUCCUUGGGUAAAUCGGGAAGCUUAACUUUCCGACUUCCGAGGAGACUGUCAAACUUGGGACCGGGAGAGGCUAGAGGUACUUCUGGGGUAGGGGUAAAAUCCUGUAAUCCUAGAAGGACCACCGGUGGCGAAGGCGCCUAGCUAGAACGGAUCCGACGGUGAGGGACGAAGCCCUGGGUCGCAAACGGGAUUAGAUACCCCGGUAGUCCAGGGUGUAACGCUGCCGACUUGGUGU